CAGUUCGGAUUGAAGUCUGAAAUUCGACUUCACGAAGCUGGAAUUGCUAGUAAUGGCAGGUCAGCAUACUGCCGUGAAUACGUUCCCGGGCCUUGUACACACCGCCCGUCACACCAUGAGAGUUGGGAAUACCCGAAGCCUGUGAGCUAACUGUAAAGAGGCAGCAGUCGAAGGUAGAAUCAAUGAUUGGGGUGAAGUCGUAACAAGGUAAC
rnacentral:rRNA from 1 species